rnacentral:rRNA from 1 species
GAUGAACGCUAGCGGGAGGCUUAACACAUGCAAGUCGAGGGGCAGCAUAGGGUAGCAAUACUCUGAUGGCGACCGGCAAACGGGUGAGUAACGCGUAUGCAACCUACCCUGUACAGGGGGAUAACCCGGAGAAAUUCGGACUAAUAUCCCGUAAUAAUAUCCGGAGGCAUCUUUGGAUAUUUAAAGUUUCGACGGUACGGGAUGGGCAUGCGUAACAUUAGCUGGUUGGUAAGGUAACGGCUUACCAAGGCUAUGAUGUUUAGGGGUCCUGAGAGGGUGGUCCCCCACACUGGUACUGAGACACGGACCAGACUCCUACGGGAGGCAGCAGUGAGGAAUAUUGGUCAAUGGGCGCAAGCCUGAACCAGCCAUCCCGCGUGCAGGAAGACGGCCCUAUGGGUUGUAAACUGCUUUUCCAGGAAGAGAAACUUACGCACGUGUUGCGUGACUGACGGUACCCUGGGAAUAAGCAUCGGCUAACUCCGUG